rnacentral:rRNA from 1 species
AUGGGAACGCGAAGAACCUUACCUAACUUGACAUCUCCUGCAUUACUCUUAAUCGAGGAAGUCCCUUCGGGGACAGGAAGACAGGUGGUGCAUGGUUGUCGUCAGCUCGUGUCGUGAGAUGUUGGGUUAAGUCCCGCAACGAGCGCAACCCCUAUUAUUAGUUGCUAACAUUAAGUUGAGCACUCUAGUGAGACUGCCCGGGUUAACCGGGAGGAAGGUGGGGAUGACGUCAAAUCAUCAUGCCCCUUAUGUCUAGGGCUACACACGUGCUACAAUGGUGGGAACAAAGAGAUGCAAUACCGCAAGGUGGAGCUAAACUCAAAACCCCAUCCCAGUUCGGAUUGUAGGCUGAAACUCGCCUACAUGAAGCUGGAGUUGCUAGUAAUCGCGAAUCAGAAUGUCGCGGUGAAUACGUUCCCGGGUCUUGUACACA